rnacentral:rRNA from 1 species
GACGAACGCUGGCGGCGUGCUUAACACAUGCAAGUCGAACGGAAAGGCCCUGCUUGCCGGGUACUCGAGUGGCGAACGGGUGAGUAACACGUGGGUGAUCUGCCCUGCACUUCGGGAUAAGCUUGGGAAACUGGGUCUAAUACCGGAUAGGAGCCAUCUUUAGUGUGGUGGUUGGAAAGUUUUUUCGGUGUAGGAUGAGCUCGCGGCCUAUCAGCUUGUUGGUGGGGUAAUGGCCUACCAAGGCGGCGACGGGUAGCCGGCCUGAGAGGGUGUACGGCCACAUUGGGACUGAGAUACGGCCCAGACUCCGACGGGAGGCAGCAGUGGGGAAUAUUGCACAAUGGGCGCAAGCCUGAUGCAGCGACGCCGCGUGGGGGAUGAAGGCCUUCGGGUUGUAAACUCCUUUCGCUAGGGACGAAGCUUUGUUGUGACGGUACCUAGAUAAGAAGCACCGGCUAACUACGUG